rnacentral:rRNA from 1 species
GAAUGCUGACAUAAGUAACGAUAAAGCGGGUGAAAAGCCCGCUCGCCGGAAGACCAAGGGUUCCUGUCCAACGUUAAUCGGGGCAGGGUGAGUCGACCCCUAAGGCGAGGCCGAAAGGCGUAGUCGAUGGGAAACGGGUUAAUAUUCCCGUACUUGGUGUUACUGCGAAGGGGGGACGGAGAAGGCUAUGUUGGCCGGGCGACGGUUGUCCCGGUUUAAGCGUGUAGGUGUGUGUUCCAGGUAAAUCCGGUUCACUUUAACACUGAGGCGUGACGACGAGGCACUACGGUGCUGAAGCAACAAAUGCCCUGCUUCCAGGAAAAGCCUCUAAGCAUCAGGUAACAUCAAAUCGUACCCCAAACCGACACAGGUGGUCAGGUAGAGAAUACCAAGGCGCUUGAGAGAACUCGGGUGAAGGAACUAGGCAAAAUGGUGCCGUAACUUCGGGAGAAGGCACGCUGACACGUAGGUGAAGUGAUUUACUCAUGGAGCUGAAGUCAGUCGAAGAUACCAGCUGGCUGCAACUGUUUAUUAAAAACACAGCACUGUGCAAACACGAAAGUGGACGUAUACGGUGUGACGCCUGCCCGGUGCCGGAAGGUUAAUUGAUGGGGUCAGCGCAAGCGAAGCUCCUGAUCGAAGCCCCGGUAAACGGCGGCCGUAACUAUAACGGUCCUAAGGUAGCGAAAUUCCUUGUCGGGUAAGUUCCGACCUGCACGAAUGGCGUAAUGAUGGCCAGGCUGUCUCCACCCGAGACUCAGUGAAAUUGAACUCGCUGUGAAGAUGCAGUGUACCCGCGGCAAGACGGAAAGACCCCGUGAACCUUUACUAUAGCUUGACACUGAACAUUGAGCCUUGAUGUGUAGGAUAGGUGGGAGGCUUUGAAGUGUGGACGCCAGUCUGCAUGGAGCCGACCUUGAAAUACCACCCUUUAAUGUUUGAUGUUCUAACGUGGACCCGUUACCCGGGUUGCGGACAGUGUCUGGUGGGUAGUUUGACUGGGGCGGUCUCCUCCUAAAGAGUAACGGAGGAGCACGAAGGUUGGCUAAUCCUGGUCGGACAUCAGGAGGUUAGUGCAAUGGCAUAAGCCAGCUUGACUGCGAGCGUGACGGCGCGAGCAGGUGCGAAAGCAGGUCAUAGUGAUCCGGUGGUUCUGAAUGGAAGGGCCAUCGCUCAACGGAUAAAAGGUACUCCGGGGAUAACAGGCUGAUACCGCCCAAGAGUUCAUAUCGACGGCGGUGUUUGGCACCUCGAUGUCGGCUCAUCACAUCCUGGGGCUGAAGUAGGUCCCAAGGGUAUGGCUGUUCGCCAUUUAAAGUGGUACGCGAGCUGGGUUUAGAACGUCGUGAGACAGUUC